rnacentral:lncRNA from 1 species
GAUUUCCUUCCAUUAGCAUAGACCCUCAAAGUCAUCUUCUUCACAUAUAUACCCAGACCAUCGAAAAAGAAAAAAAAUAGACUGAAAACUGAAGAGGGGUGAUCGGAACAGGGGACUGGUGCGAGGUUCGAUCCUUAUCCAAGCUUUUUCUGGUGAAAACUUUUACCAGAAUUGAUUUUAGUUCGUCGUUCGGUUGACCAGUUCAAGAAGAAUCCAAAUUUCUUCAUUUUUCUUUGAUUUCUAAGGGAAUCUGGCC